rnacentral:lncRNA from 1 species
AUAACAUAAAGAAGCUUUUAGAGACAAAGGAUAAAUGAUUAAAUAAGACAGAAUAGGAAGUAUGCUGCCGAUAUAAAGUUUUUAACAAAUCCGAUAGAUUGUCCCUAACAGAGAGAAGUCCUUUGUAUUCGUGCGUUAAAUUUUACAAUAGUCUACCAUCUGACAUUCAACGGGAAACAAGCUAUAAAGCUUUUAAAAAAACGGUUUUUCAACACCUGGUUAACAUUGAGCCGUAUACUGUGGUGGAGUACCUGGCCUAUCAGCCUUGAUCAGCAUAUAUGUAAUUUGUAUUGUUUGUAUAUUUUAGUGUAUUGUUAAUAUAUCUUUUUAAUAUGUGAUUAUUAGUAGCAUUUUUUAAUAUGUGAUUGUUAGUAAUGUGACGUUAUUUGCUCAAUUAUGUUAAAAAUUUAUGCAAAUAAAAAUUUACUCUACUCUACUCUA